AGGUAUUUUCUUUUGAAUCAUGGAUUCAAGAUUUGUCUAUAAUUCAAAAAUAUUUGUGUAGGUAGAGACAUGUUCAAAAAGAGAUCGGUCGACAUACUUGCAUAUUAUGGCAACCGACUUUCUAUUAAGAAUCUCUCAUGCUUUAUCAUCCUUUCCUUCCGGCUUAUCCUUCAUGAUGAUGGGCUCAUGCAAAUCCUUGCAAUAAAGGUGAUCUUCCAUCAUCGGUUUCCAAUAAGAGAAGUUCUCCGUGAGCUUGAACAUGUCACCUUCAAAGGUAACGGUGGCCUCCAUCUUCACUUCUUCAACGAUAACGGUAACUCGGCUCUGAUGGGAAAGUUAGCAGAUAAUAUUUUCUUCGAGAGGUUAAGAUGGAAAGUGGACGGUUAGUGUUUAAGAUAGCCUUCGUAUUUUAGAAAGAGAUUUUCUACUAAGGCUUGUGUUUAGAGAUUCUUUUUGAAACUUUCUAAAAUAUUUUCUUUCUAUUGUUUUGCUUGAUUCUUGGAUGAUUACAAGUGAACUAGACAUCC
rnacentral:lncRNA from 1 species